ACGGGUGCGUAAUACGUAGGAAUCUGCCCUAGAGUGGGGAAUAACUCCGCGAAAGCGGGGCUAAUACCGCAUAUUUUUAGUAUCCUAAAACGUUACUAAAUAAAGGAGGCUAGCAAUAGCUUUCGCUUUAGGAUGAGCCUACGCCGGAUUAGCUAGUUGGUAGGGUAAAGGCCUACCAAGGCCACGAUCCGUAGCUGGUUUGAGAGAACGACCAGCCACACUGGGACUGAGAUACGGCCCAGACUCCUACGGGAGGCAGCAGUGGGGAAUAUUGGACAAUGGGCGAAAGCCUGAUCCAGCAAUGCCGCGUGUGCGAUGAAGGCCUGCGGGUUGUAAAGCACUUUCGGUGGGGAAGAAAUACUCAAAGCUAAUACCUUUGAGGGUUGACGUUACCCACAGAAGAAGCACCGGCUAACUCUGUGCCAGCAGCCGCGGUAAUACAGAGGGUGCAAGCGUUAAUCGGAGUUACUGGGCGUAAAGGGCGCGUAGGUGGAUAUUUUAGUCGGGUGUGAAAUCCCUGGGCUUAACCUAGGAAUUGCAUUCGAUACUGGAUAUCUAGAGUAUAGUAGAGGAAAGUGGAAUU
rnacentral:rRNA from 1 species